UACGAAGGGGGCUAGCGUUGCUCGGAAUCACUGGGCGUAAAGGGCGCGUAGGCGGCCGAUUAAGUCGGGGGUGAAAGCCUGUGGCUCAACCACAGAAUUGCCUCGAUACUGGUUGGCUUGAGACCGGAAGAGGACAGCGGAACUGCGAGUGUAGAGGUGAAAUUCGUAGAUAUCGCAAGAACACCAGUGGCGAAGGCGGCUGUCUGGUCCGGUUCUGACGCUGAGGCGCGAAAGCGUGGGGAGCAAACAGG
rnacentral:rRNA from 1 species